rnacentral:rRNA from 1 species
UACGGGGGGGGUAAGCGUUGUUCGGAAUUACUGGGCGUAAAGGGCUCGUAGGCGGCCAACUAAGUCGGACGUGAAAUCCCUCAGCUUAACUGGGGAACUGCGUCCGAUACUGGAUGGCUUGGAUUUGGGAGAGGGAUGCGGAAUUCCAGGUGUAGCGGUGAAAUGCGUAGAUAUCUGGAGGAACACCUAUUGCGAAGGCAGCUCGCUGGGACGUUACUGACGCUGAGACGCGAAAGCGUGGGGAGCAAACAGG